GACGAACGCUGGCGGCGUGCUUAACACAUGCAAGUCGAACGGAAAGGCCCUGCUUUUGUGGGGUGCUCGAGUGGCGAACGGGUGAGUAACACGUGAGUAACCUGCCCUUGACUUUGGGAUAACUUCAGGAAACUGGGGCUAAUACCGGAUAGGAGCUCCUGCUGCAUGGUGGGGGUUGGAAAGUUUCGGCGGUUGGGGAUGGACUCGCGGCUUAUCAGCUUGUUGGUGGGGUAGUGGCUUACCAAGGCUUUGACGGGUAGCCGGCCUGAGAGGGUGACCGGCCACAUUGGGACUGAGAUACGGCCCAGACGCCUACGGGAGGCAGCGGUGGAGAAUAUUGCACAAUGGGCGGAAGCCUGAUGCAGCAACGCCGGGUGCGGGAUGACGGCCUUCGGGUUAUAAACAGCUUUCGCCUGUGACGAAGCGUGAGUGACGGUAAUGAGUAAAGAAGCACCGGCUAACUACGUG
rnacentral:rRNA from 1 species